rnacentral:rRNA from 1 species
GCGGGGGGGGCAGCUUACCAUGCAGUCGAACGGCAGCGCGGGAGCAAUCCUGGCGGCGAGUGGCGAACGGGUGAGUAAUACAUCGGAACGUGCCCAAUCGUGGGGGAUAACGCAGCGAAAGCUGUGCUAAUACCGCAUACGAUCUACGGAUGAAAGCAGGGGAUCGCAAGACCUUGCGCGAAUGGAGCGGCCGAUGGCAGAUUAGGUAGUUGGUGAGGUAAAGGCUCACCAAGCCUUCGAUCUGUAGCUGGUCUGAGAGGACGACCAGCCACACUGGGACUGAGACACGGCCCAGACUCCUACGGGAGGCAGCAGUGGGGAAUUUUGGACAAUGGGCGAAAGCCUGAUCCAGCCAUGCCGCGUGCAGGAUGAAGGCCUUCGGGUUGUAAACUGCUUUUGUACGGAACGAAACGGUCUCUUCUAAUAAAGGGGGCUAAUGACGGUACCGUAAGAAUAAGCACCGGCUAACUACGUGCCAGCAGCCGCGGUAAUACGUAGGGUGCAAGCGUUAAUCGGAAUUACUGGGCGUAAAGCGUGCGCAGGCGGUUAUAUAAGACAGUUGUGAAAUCCCCGGGCUCAACCUGGGAACUGCAUCUGUGACUGUAUAGCUAGAGUACGGUAGAGGGGGAUGGAAUUCCGCGUGUAGCAGUGAAAUGCGUAGAUAUGCGGAGGAACACCGAUGGCGAAGGCAAUCCCCUGGACCUGUACUGACGCUCAUGCACGAAAGCGUGGGGAGCAAACAGGAUUAGGUACCCUGGUAGUCCACGCCCUAAACGAUGUCAACUGGUUGUUGGGUCUUCACUGACUCAGUAACGAAGCUCACGCGUGAAGUUGACCGCCUGGGGAGUACGGCCGCAAGGUUGAAACUCAAAGGAAUUGACGGGGACCCGCACAAGCGGUGGGAUGAUGUGGGUUGUAUUUCGAUGCAACGCGAAAAAACAUUACCCACCCUUUGACAUGUACGGGAAUUCGCCGGGAGGAUGGCUUAGUGCUCGGAAGUAUAACCGUAACACAAGGUGGCUGCAUCGGCUGUCGUCAAAAUACAGAGGUCGUUGAGAUGUUGGGGUUAAAGUCCCACAACCAACAGCAACCCCUUGUCCAUAACUUGCUACAGUUCGGAUGGGGGACGUCUGAUCGAUACUGCCGGAUAAACGAACCAGGACGGAAGCUGGGAGAUGAACGUCGAAGUUCGCGUCUGCCCUUACUACUAGUCUGAGCAAGUCGUACAUGGACUGAUCAGAAGAGUUUGCCGAGACGCGCGUAUGAUAGAACGCUAGAUCUGCCCAGGUA